GGACCCACACAAGCGGUGGACCAUGGGGUUUAAUUCGUCAAUAAGCGAUUAACCUUACCCAGACUUGACAUCCCGAUCGCACUCUUUAGAGAUAAAGAGGUCAACUCGGUUGGAUCGGUGACAGGCGCUGCAUGGUCGUCGUCAGCUCGUGCCUUGAGGUGUUCGGUUAAGUCCGUAAACGAGCGCAACCCUCGUCCUGUGUUGUACUUUCACAGGAGACUGCCGAUUAAAAUCGGAGAAGGUGAGGAUGACGUCAGAUCAGCAUGGCCCUUAUGUCUGGGGCUACACCCGUGGUACAAUGGCAAGUACAAACCGAAGCGAAGCGGUAACGUGGAGCCAAUCGGAUUCAAAACUUGUCUCAGUUCGGAUUGAAGUCUGCAACUCGACUUCAUGAAGUUGGAAUC
rnacentral:rRNA from 1 species